rnacentral:rRNA from 1 species
GAUGAGCGCUAGCUACAGGCUUAACACAUGCAAGUCGAGGGGAAACGGCAUUGAGUGCUUGCACUCUUUGGACGUCGACCGGCGCACGGGUGAGUAACGCGUAUCCAACCUUCCCAUUACUGUGGGAUAACCUGCCGAAAGGCAGACUAAUACCGCAUAGUCUUCGAUGACUGCAUCAGAUUUGAAGUAAAGAUUUAUCGGUAAUGGAUGGGGAUGCGUCUGAUUAGCUUGUUGGCGGGGUAACGGCCCACCAAGGCUACGAUCAGUAGGGGUUCUGAGAGGAAGGUCCCCCACAUUGGAACUGAGACACGGUCCAAACUCCUACGGGAGGCAGCAGUGAGGAAUAUUGGUCAAUGGACGGAAGUCUGAACCAGCCAAGUAGCGUGCAGGAUGACGGCCCUAUGGGUUGUAAACUGCUUUUGUAUGGGGAUAAAGUUAGGGACGUGUCCCUAUUUGCAGGUACCAUACGAAUAAGGACCGGCUAAUUCCGUG